rnacentral:rRNA from 1 species
CAGUAGCCACGGUAAUACGUAGGUGGCAAGCGUUGUCCGGAAUUAUUGGGCGUAAAGGGCUCGCAGGCGGUUUCUUAAGUCUGAUGUGAAAGCCCCCGGCUCAACCGGGGAGGGUCAUUGGAAACUGGGAAACUUGAGUGCAGAAGAGGAGAGUGGAAUUCCACGUGUAGCGGUGAAAUGCGUAGAGAUGUGGAGGAACACCAGUGGCGAAGGCGACUCUCUGGUCUGUAACUGACGCUGAGGAGCGAAAGCGUGGGGAGCGAACAGGAUUAGAUACCCCGGUAGUCCCUGUCUCUUAUAA